rnacentral:tRNA from 3 species
GGUCCCAUCGUCUAGCGGUUAGGACGCCGGCCUCUCACGUCGGUAACAGGGGUUCGAAUCCCCUUGGGACCA